CAGCAGGAGUGCCAGGGGUGUGACCAUUUCCUGAUUCUGUUUUUGUAUGACACUAUCUCCUUUACAGCCAUCCAUCUAUCAUCAGGGAAUGGGACCACUUAAUACAUUUUGAAGUGUCAAUGAAGUCCAAAAGUUGGAACUUUUUGUCCGCAUAUUGUAGAUUUGGAGAGUAUAGAAAAAGGAAAAGAAAAUAAGGAGGAAAAUAAACAGCACCUGUAAUCCAUCAAAGCAGAAGUAACUGAAGGAGCACGAUAAGUGCUUUUCCCCCGAAGCACUUAACAUAACAAAAUUGCCUCACUCAUCAUGGCAAAGCAGUCACCUUUAGAGUGGUGCAUGAAGCUGUUUUUCAGCAUGGCGUAACACUUCAGAUGGAACGGGAAAUGAAGAAGAAUUCUAUGUCGAGUGACAAUGGUGGGGAAUUUAAACAGGCAGAAUAGAAUUACUUAGUUGGAAUUGGGUCAGAACCCUGAAAUGAACAGCU